AGGCCGGUCGAAACUUUUCGUAGAUGCCGCCACCUUAGCUUUUACCUGUCAAUGAUUUUGUCAAACAACAACAACAAUUUUAUUUAGUAGUUUUGCAUAAUUUCUGUAUUAAUUAUAUUGAAAUCAUUAUGUAUUCGUCUUGGCGUGUAAGUGAGCUAAAAGCUGAACUAAUGAAAAGAGGCGCAUCGCUUAACGGAAGACGGGCAGAAUUAGUCGAAAGAUUGGAACUUUACGACCGGAAUUCCAAUUUUGGAAGUGCAGAGAAUCAGUCCAUUGACGAUGUGAUGGAAGUUCCUCAUGUUAGGACAUAUCGGGACAUAAAUGCUAGUUCAUUGUUACCUCAUGUAACCCAAACUUACAUACGACAGUAAUUUUGCUGUGAUGACAAGAAAAUAAGUGAAGCUAAGGCAUUGUGUGAGUCCCGAUACCUACCUUGUUUUAGCAAGAGGAUUUGGAUUCAAAUAUGGGGGAAAAUACCUUUAUUAAAGGAUAUUGCAAAAAACUAUGAAGCAGCUGCAAUAUGAAGUAAAUUUAAAGCUUCACAAAAGUGGAAUAGCACAGGAAUCUAACUGUAAACAAGUUUUUGUUUCUUAUAACUAAACCAAGUUUAGUUAUAAGAAACAAAAACUUAUUAUUCAGCUAUAUCUGUAAUAUAUUAAUUAUAAAGCAUUAAUGUGAUGAAACUGGAUUAAAGCAUUGUUAUAAUAUAAGAUCAUAUAAAUAAAACAUACAUUGA